rnacentral:lncRNA from 1 species
UGGGUGUGAAAGCUGUUGGUUCCUCCUAAAGUGAAGAUUUUUUGGUGGAGACUGUUUCAUGAAAAAUUUUUCUGUAAAAUGGCAUUGUUUCAUAAGGAUAUUAUUCCUUUUGAUGCUAGGUGUUGUGACCAGUGUCAAAAUGUUAAGGAGGAUUGUGCUCAUGUUAUGGUUCAAUGCUCUUAUCCCAGGGCUUCUUGGCAGUUGCUAAGUGGGACAAGUAACACAGAUUUUUAUCCUUUGACUUU